CACAGAUCGUUUGACUGCAUGCUGCUGAGAGCACACAAAAGCAGGCAAUGCGGGAGGACGUACCAGUAUGUCCACCUGCAUUGGCGCUGCUCCCACCUGGCUUUAUAUCUACAUUGGCCAGACUGGAAGAGGUUAAUAUGGUCAUAAUGUCAUACUGUGUUUAUUUUUUUUUGCAGGUGGAUUCGAAUUUGAAGAGAAAAUUGAGAUGGAGGAGAGAGAUGGAGCAAACCUCAUGUUACCACACUCACUUUACAUAGUUUAUUUGAGCUAAGAACAUGCUUUGAGAAGGGAAUUAUUUUACUGGAUACAGAGAAGUGUACAUUUAAAGAAAUAAUAGAUCAUGUACUGAAACAAGAAUUUCCAUGAAUAAGUAAAUGAGGAAGAAACUGGAAAUAUUAAAUGUUCUUCUUCAAAACCACACCACACCACCCAACAAAAUCAGGAACAAAAUUUUUGAAAAAACAUAGUUUCAUCAACUUGUAGGGG